rnacentral:lncRNA from 1 species
AGGCUGUGGGGGCACAUAUGGGUCGUUGCGAGGGCUGCUCCCCCAAUCCGGUCUUUAAGAAAUCCGGCCUUCGACUUUGCUCAUGUUAGGACGAGGUUCUCUUCCUGUUCCUAACAAGGCUGUGGGGUCACAUAAGGGCCGUUGCAAGGGCCUCUCCCCCCAUCUGGUCUUUAAGAAACUGGGCCUUCGACUUUGCUCAUGUU